CAGCAGACACAUUCCAGCCAAUCAGCAGCAGACCCUCCCUCCCAGACCCUCCCACCUCCUGGACAGCUCACUAAGAAUGCAGCUUCACAAUGAAUUUAAUAUGGAUGCUGUCCAGGAGGUGGGAGGGUCUGGGAGGGAGGGUUUCCUGCUGAUUGGCUGGAAUGUGUCUGCUG